rnacentral:tRNA from 1 species
GGGUCUAUAGUGUAAAUGGAUCAACAUCCCACUCUUACAAAGUGGAGACGAGAAGUAUAAUCCCGGUUCGAGUCCGGGUAGACCCAC